rnacentral:lncRNA from 1 species
AACUUAUGCUGCAGAGCGGGUUGACCUCGAACGCAGAGAUCUGCGCGUCUCUGACUCACGAAUAUUGGGACUAAAGGUGUCACUACCAGCGCCUGGCUUCGCUUUUUCGUAAGGCAUCUUCAAAGGACGUAUGUGACAGCACUGGCUUGACAUGAUGAACACAGGAAACUCUCUGGUGAGCUCAUAGGAAACAGAAGGAAGACAAUGGAGGAGGAGACAAUAGCAGCAGCUUCCUCCUCGUUGUGACCACCAGCAAGCCAGGCCUCCCUUUGGAGCAAUUCCAAACCAGCUGAUGGGAUGGGAUGAAGCCUGGCGUCUGUCUCAAAAUAACUGGGGGUGGAGGAGGGGGCGACAGAGGAGAGCCGGGUCAAGCUUGGUCGUGAAUGGAGUGUUGUUGAAACUGAAUGAGAGCUGUGCUCGCCUCUACCUUGACCGACUGGAAACUUCCCAUAAUACCAAGUUUAAGUACAGUGAUGGCGACACUAACAAUGUCAAAGAAAAAUC